UCCAAGAAAAAGGGUUUAAACCAACAACCCAGAGAAAUUAUUUAAUGGACGCUGUGGCUUUCAUUAAAUAUGUUUCCAACAUGUCUCCACCAUCUGUCCGACUUGGAAAUAAAAGGAUCAAUGCCCUCUUGAUUGAACUGAGGGCACGGAUUAGAGACAUUGGCCGAGAAGUAGUUGGACACCAGCUCAGUGUGCGCAGAUCUAAGUCUGAUAGACUUGUCAAAGCAAAGAAGCAUGCUUUGUUUAUUGAAAAGGCUCCUCAGAAGAUUGCUGAUGCACUGGGUGGAACAGCACAAAACCCAAAGGUAUUUUGGAUCAGCAGCCGUAUACUCUAAGAACGAGCAUGACUGGUUGCGCCGUUAAAACCGACUUCGCAGAGAGAUUAAAGGAGGCUCACAGGCAUCUACUUUUUUCCACAAUGCCAAUGGGGGUGUCCUUGAUAAGCUGCCUGAAUAUUUCAAGAAGGCCUGGGAAGA